UCCUCCACUGCUCCUGCUUCCUCCUUGCUGCCCCCCAUCCUGCUGCUCCCUCCCGCAGUCAGUGUUUGUGCAUGAACAGGCGUGUGUGACUCUUUCUUUCUGCUCGCUGCCAGCCCUAUAAAAUCCAUCUGGAAAGAGGCAGUCAAAAGGCCAUUUUUCUGGAGCACAGGACAGGAAAUUCUGCCUUUGGGCUGCUGCUGUUGAUAAUGUGACCUGCAGUCCCUAGCUUGGCUUUAACCUUUUGGAUAAAUGAAGAGAAGCAGGUUUUUGACCAGAAGCAGCCCAACAUUGAACCAGCAGAGAGACUGCUCACAAGGAAGCUCACAGGAGAUUCCCUCCAGGAGGCAAAUCACAGACAGGACCACAAGCAGGAGCUGGAAAUAGAAAGUGAGAGGGAGAUGUGUUUUCCGAAGAGACAGGGAAUGGUACCUCCUUAUGGGAUGGAAGUCUGGGAGUGCAAGGACAGUGGUAAAGCCCACAUCAGCAAGGCUAUCCUUGCUGAGGAUGAGUCAGACCUGCCCAUGUGUGGGAACAGUGUCAUUUGGAUUCAGCAGGUGGGGGAGAAAACCUAAAAGUGUCCAGAGUGUGGGAAGAGCUUCAACUGGAGUUCAUACCUGAGCCAGCACGAGAGGAUCCACUUGGCAGAGAAACCCUUCAGCUGCUCCGAGUGUGGAAAGAGUUCCACCCACAAUUCGGACAUGAUCACCAGCGGAUCCACACAGGGGAGAAGCCCUACCAGUGCAGCAAGUGCAAAAAAAGACCUUCAGCCAGAGGUUUAAUGUGAUCAGGCACCAGUGCACCCACACAGGAGAGAGACACUACCUGUGCAACAAAUGUGGGAAGAGCUUCAGCCAAGUCGCAUCUCAUCGUCCACCAGCGAAACCACAAGGGUGAGAAACCCUUUAAUUGCCCACGGUGUGAGGAAAGCUUCAGCAACCGCCUCUCCCUCAUCAUACAUCAGAGGGUCCACACUGGAGAGAAGCCCCACCAGUGCCAGGAGUGUGGGAAGCAUUUCUGGGACAGCUCAGCCAUCAUUCGGCAUCAGAGGGUUCACAUCAGAGAGAAACCCUACGAGUGCCCAGUGUGGGAAGACCUUCUGGCACAGCUCCUUGCUGGCAACACACAUGCGAACGCACACGGGUGAGAGGCCCUACAAGUGCCCCGUGUGCAGGAAGGGCUUCAGCCAGAGCUCGGUGGUCACCACUCACCGCCGGAUCCUUGGGGGAAAGGCCUUGCCCGUGUGUCACGGUGGCCUCCUGCCCAGCCCCUUCCAGUGCAUCAGGUGUGGCCAGAGGUGCAGCAACCACGCCACUCUGGCCAAGCACCGAGCCUGCACACCGAGGAGCAGCCCUACAUCUGUGUGGAGUGCGAGGACAGCUUCUGCUGGAGCUCAGCUCUCAACAUGCACCUGAGGAUCCACGGUGGCGAGAGACCCUACAAGUGUAAGGAGUGUAGGAAAAUGGUCUGGCACAGCUCAGCCCUCGGUGCCCACCUGAGGAUCCACGCAGGAGCCAAGCCCUACAAGUGUGUCGAGUGUGGGAAAACCUUCCCGAAAAGCUCAACACUUAAAGUGCAUUUGAAAAUCCACACAGCCAAGAAACCUUAUAAAUGUCUGGUGGGUAGAAGAAUCCUCACCUCUUGCUCACUUCUGCCAUAAACCUGGAGUGGAUGUUCAGAGCAGGAACAGAAAGUAAUUUUUGGGGGUACCUGAAUGCAUGGUGAGAACCACGGUGGGAAGAGACUGACUGGAGACAUGGUAUAUCUGGUGUAAGGGCCUGGUGCUUAACCCCAGAGGCACAAAAUAUUUCGGGAGAUAUGGAAACAGGGAAUUAGUCCUAAGAAUUGAGUGCUGGGGGUUUAGGAAGAGUGCCAAGAGCCUGAGGAAUGAGCACGAGCUUCAGGGUAAGUGGGGACUGUGAAUACAUGCUAGAAUAAUAACUGGGAGAAUUGGGCUUGUAAAAUACAGCUAAGGUGAAGAUCAAAAUAAAGCGUUCCAGGUUGGCUCUCACUCAAAACUUCGGCUUGUUAGAUGCCGUAAUAGUCUUAGGAACUCUUCUUUCUAUUACCUUCCCUUAUUUUUCAUGAACGGAGUAAGUUUACACAGUGUUUGACAAGGCAUUUCCAGAUCUUUUCAUAGUGAGACCUUGAAGCUGAACUUAAAUCUGUUUGUCUUUUCUUUCUAUUUUCCAAAUCUUACAUGGGACAUAGAAUUCCUACUUCAUGAUAGCUAGGUAACACAAAACUAAUGGCUGUUCCCAGAAAACCUGUAUACAGAAGUGCUUCCAGUUGAAAGGCAGUCUAUAGCUUCUCCCAGAUUUGUUGUUGCCGAUUUGAAACUCUUUCCAACGUGGGACAUCAACAAAACAUGUACAAAAAUGUGGCCUUAUAUUAUUUAACCCAAAAAGAAAGGAUUUGCCCCCAGAUGGCCUAGUCUGAACUAGUACACGAUGACUUCUCACUGCUGGUCCAGAGACUGAUUGCAAUAGACUUGUUCUUUUUAUGCCAUUCUUCUUCGGUCGCUGUUGUUUCCCGAGUAUUAACAAAUACAGUUCGGCAUUUAAGGACUGCGUAUUAUAUAAACCCCUUCUAUAUU